rnacentral:lncRNA from 1 species
CACAAACAGACGAAUGGAUAUCUUUUGUUUGAAAAAUCUCGCGAGAUUACGUCUCGCGCUCAACCAGCGUCGAUCGUCGACUGCUUUCGGUCAUAAUUUGGGUUGAUGAAGAAGGUAGACAUCUUUGAAAUAGGCCCAUAAGUGAAUGGUAUAGUUAACUUACAAACUGUGAUUAAUUUGAGUUAAACUUUAAAUAUGCCACCAAAGAAAAGAAAAGUAGAUGACGACGACGACGAUGAUGAUUUAGACGAUUUUAAACGCGAAAAAUUAAGCGAUGAUGAUGACAUUACUCCACCCAACAACAACAAAGAAGUUGAUGAGGAUGAUGGACAAGAAGGAACGUCUGAUGAAUCAAAGAAACAAUUUAAGGAUAUGUGGUUUCUUCAAGACGGAGCACCAGCACAUAAUGGUGGCUGUGUUGU